GUGCUAACAUCUGGAAAUUGAAGACCAAACAAUUCUUGAAAAAUACCAUAAAGUUAUGAAAAUGUUUACCAUGUGCCAGCAUUGUGAAGACCCAAGUCUGAGUAGGGUAGAGGUACCAAAACCAAUAGCUUGGAAGGGGUCCUCAAGUUUACACCAGCAUGCAGCCUAGCUACCCAUUACUGUUUUCAGACACUUCACCAAGGAGCCAGUCUCAAGCCCUAGGUUCUCAAAACCUCUAUGUUUGUUGCUCAGCAACGACUGAAGUCCCUGGGCCUCAAAGUUUUCCUUGAUGGUCCUGCAGUGUCCUGGGGAGAUCCUGAUGAUGACUCCAAUCAUGGAUUUGCUCAGGUUGCAAAGUCUGAUGUAUGCAUUGAAUCACAGCUACUGAGACCUCAGCCAGGAACAAAGAGAAAGAGCUCACCAGCUGAUAAUGCUCUUUAUCCCAUCCCUGGAUUCUAA
rnacentral:lncRNA from 1 species